GCCGGGGUGGCGGAAUGGUAGACGCAGCGGACUCAAAAUCCGCCGAGGUUACCCCUCGUGGGGGUUCGAGUCCCCCCUCCGGCA
rnacentral:tRNA from 1 species